rnacentral:rRNA from 1 species
GUUGGGUAGGGGAGCGUUCUGUAAGCCUGUGAAGGUGUGUCGUGAGGCAUGCUGGAGGUAUCAGAAGUGCGAAUGCUGACAUAAGUAACGAUAAAGCGGGUGAAAAGCCCGCUCGCCGGAAGACCAAGGGUUCCUGUCCAACGUUAAUCGGGGCAGGGUGAGUCGACCCCUAAGGCGAGGCCGAAAGGCGUAGUCGAUGGGAAACGGGUUAAUAUUCCCGUACUUGGUGUUACUGCGAAGGGGGGACGGAGAAGGCUAUGUUGGCCGGGCGACGGUUGUCCCGGUUUAAGCGUGUAGGUGUGUGUUCCAGGUAAAUCCGGUUCACUUUAACACUGAGGCGUGAUGACGAGGCACUACGGUGCUGAAGCAACAAAUGCCCUGCUUCCAGGAAAAGCCUCUAAGCAUCAGGUAACAUCAAAUCGUACCCCAAACCGACACAGGUGGUCAGGUAGAGAAUACCAAGGCGCUUGAGAGAACUCGGGUGAAGGAACUAGGCAAAAUGGUGCCGUAACUUCGGGAGAAGGCACGCUGACACGUAGGUGAAGUGAUUUACUCAUGGAGCUGAAGUCAGUCGAAGAUACCAGCUGGCUGCAACUGUUUAUUAAAAACACAGCACUGUGCAAACACGAAAGUGGACGUAUACGGUGUGACGCCUGCCCGGUGCCGGAAGGUUAAUUGAUGGGGUCAGCGCAAGCGAAGCUCCUGAUCGAAGCCCCGGUAAACGGCGGCCGUAACUAUAACGGUCCUAAGGUAGCGAAAUUCCUUGUCGGGUAAGUUCCGACCUGCACGAAUGGCGUAAUGAUGGCCAGGCUGUCUCCACCCGAGACUCAGUGAAAUUGAACUCGCUGUGAAGAUGCAGUGUACCCGCGGCAAGACGGAAAGACCCCGUGAACCUUUACUAUAGCUUGACACUGAACAUUGAGCCUUGAUGUGUAGGAUAGGUGGGAGGCUUUGAAGCGUGGACGCCAGUCUGCGUGGAGCCGACCUUGAAAUACCACCCUUUAAUGUUUGAUGUUCUAACGUGGACCCGUAAUCCGGGUUGCGGACAGUGUCUGGUGGGUAGUUUGACUGGGGCGGUCUCCUCCUAAAGAGUAACGGAGGAGCACGAAGGUUGGCUAAUCCUGGUCGGACAUCAGGAGGUUAGUGCAAUGGCAUAAGCCAGCUUGACUGCGAGCGUGACGGCGCGAGCAGGUGCGAAAGCAGGUCAUAGUGAUCCGGUGGUUCUGAAUGGAAGGGCCAUCGCUCAACGGAUAAAAGGUACUCCGGGGAUAACAGGCUGAUACCGCCCAAGAGUUCAUAUCGACGGCGGUGUUUGGCACCUCGAUGUCGGCUCAUCACAUCCUGGGGCUGAAGUAGGUCCCAAGGGUAUGGCUGUUCGCCAUUUAAAGUGGUACGCGAGCUGGGUUUAGAACGUCGUGAGACAGUUCGGUCCCUAUCUGCCGUGGGCGCUGGAGAACUGAGGGGGGCUGCUCCUAGUACGAGAGGACCGGAGUGGACGCAUCACUGGUGUUCGGGUUGUCAUGCCAAUGGCACUGCCCGGUAGCUAAAUGCGGAAGAGAUAAGUGCUGAAAGCAUCUAAGCACGAAACUUGCCCCGGGAUGAGUUCU